rnacentral:rRNA from 1 species
GACGAACGCUGGCGGCGUGCCUAAUACAUGCAAGUAGAACGCACAGUUUAUACCGUAGCUUGCUACACCAUAGACUGUGAGUUGCGAACGGGUGAGUAACGCGUAGGUAACCUGCCUGGUAGCGGGGGAUAACUAUUGGAGACGAUAGCUAAUACCGCAUAAUAUUGAUUAUUGCAUGAUAAUUGAUUGAAAGAUGCUAUUGCAUCACUACCAGAUGGACCUGCGUUGUAUUAGCUAGUAGGUGAGGUAACGGCUCACCUAGGCGACGAUACAUAGCCGACCGGGGAGGGGGAUCGGCCACACUGGGACUGAGACACGGCCCAGACUCCUACGGGAGGCAGCAGUAGGGAAACUUCGGCAAUGGACGAAAGUCUGACCGAGCAACGCCGCGUGAGUGAAGAAGGUUUUCGGACCGUAAAGCUCUGUUGUAAGAGAAGAACGGGUGUGAGAGUGGAAAGUUCACACUGUGACGGUAUCUUACCAGAAAGGGACGGCUAACUACGUG